rnacentral:rRNA from 1 species
GGCGAACGCUGGCGGCGGGCUUAACACAUGCAAGUCGAACGCUGAAGCUCAGCUUUUUUUGGGUGGAUGAUUGGCGAACGGGUGAGUAACACGUGAGUAACCUGCCCCCUUCUUUGGGAUAACGCCCGGAAACGGGUGCUAAUACUGGAUAUUCACUGGUCUUCGCAUGGGGGUUGGUGGAAAGGGUUUUUCUGGUGGGUGAUGGGCUCGCGGCCUGUCAGCUUGGUGGUGGGGUGAUGGCCUACCAAGGCUUUGACGGGUAGCCGGCCUGAGGGGGUGACCGGUAACAUUGGGACUGAGAUAAGGCCCAGAGUCGGACGGGGGGCAGAAGUGGGGAAUAUUGCAGAAUGGGUGCAAGAGUGAUGCAGCGACGCCGCGUGAGGGAUGGAGGCCUUAGGGUUGUGAAACUGUUUAGCUAAUGGUCAAGCCGAAACAAUGGUUGUGGUGAGGGUAGUGGGUAAAGAAGCGCCGGCUAACUACGUG